rnacentral:misc_RNA from 1 species
GCCUCGCCUCGCCUCGCCUCGCCAAGCGCCUUUUCUCACCUUUAAUAACACUGCCUUAAAUAGGGCCAGAUUGGACUUUUGAGAUGCUGCUAUGUUCAAGGCUUUGUUAGGUUGGCUUUGGAGAUUCUAUAUGAAGAGGAUAGGCUAGAGAGAUAAGCUAUAAAGGCUGCAUACAAUAAUGGGGACAUUUCAUUGGUGCAUCAAAAUUAAAACUGUUAGUUCAUUUCCCAGUACAAUGGCUUAUAGAAGGCCAUUAGGAAUGAGAGGAAUGAUUACUUCAUUUUUUAUUUUGACUCAGACAGUUCAAGCCUCAUUUUUAGGACUUGGAGAGGGGUGAUAUCAACCUCAAGGAGGCCUUUCCUUCACUACAUGAUGCAGCUUAUGAUAAAAAGGCUUUGUAAGAGGCUACCUUUUUUUUUUU